ensembl:lncRNA
UCCAGAACCUCCCCAAAUGAUCAGGAUAAAUGAUGAAAAGUGUCUUGGUGUUCCAGGUACCUGUCCCAGAAGAGAAUACUACAUACCCAAGGACUUUGCGUUCAGAGAGGAGACAUAACUCCUGGCAAGGUCACCUGAUGUCCCUUUCGCCUUUUUUGAUUGUCAGGCUCUCUUCCCUGCUGCUCGGCCUAACUGCACAUCUCGCCUCAACAUUAGUAGGAAUCUGGAUAGAUUGGAACACUGAGCAAAUAACACUGGCAUGAAGUUCAACAAAGGAAAACUCUUGGUUCUGCACCUGAGAUGGAGUAAUGCUGGACACAGGUACAUCCUGGGAAAUGAAUGGCUGGACAGUAGCUCUGCAGAAAGCAAUCUGGGGUUGCUGGUGACAGCAUCUCAACAUCAGACAGUAUUGUGCCCUGACAGACAAGGGGGCAUUAAACACAGCAUAGCUAGAUGAUCAAAAGUGGUGAUUCUCUUUUAGCAUUUAGCAUUGGUGCGGCCUCAGCUUGAAUAUUCUCUCCAGUUCUGGGCUCCGGGAUAGUAAGGUCCUUGAAAACAUCCAGAGGAGGGCAACAAAGUUGGUCACAGGACUGGAAGUCAGAUUCUUUGUAGAGAGACUGAGAAAACACUGGAGUUGUCUGGUUUGGAGAGAAGGAGGCUGAUAAGUGACCUCAUUGUCCUCUGCAAUUUCCUGGGAACUGCAGAGGGAAGUACUGGGCACUUUUCCCUGGUAACUGAUGUCAGGAUACACAAGAGAAGCAUAAAGCUGUGCCCAGGAAGGUUCAGCCUGGGCAUUAAGAAACAUUGCUUUACUGUGAGGGUGGUCAAACACUUGCUACCUAGAGAGGAUAUUGAAGCCCCAUACCUGUCAGUAUUUAGGAGAUGUUUGGACAAUUCUCUUGUUAAUAUGCUUUAACUUUUGGUCUGCCCUGUAGUGGUCAGACAGUUGGACUUGAUGAUUUUUGAAGAUUCCUCCCAGCUGUAUUGUUCUGUUCUGUUCUAUUUUAUUCCAUUCUAUUCUAUUUUACUCUGUUCUGUUCUGUUCCAUUCCAUUCCAGUCCAUUCUAUUCCUUCUAAUUUUAAUUCCUACAAAAUGUUUUGGGUAUUAAAUAAAGGUAUAUUUAAUGGUUGUAAC